CUGUCCACAAGAUGAUGCCCAUGCUAUCGUCUGGAGAUAGCCUGAUCAAAAACCCUACUGUUGUGGAAGCAAUUCUUCGUAUCUCCUAUAAUACCUGUACCUUUCCUCUGUCCAACCGUUAAAGGGAGCAGUUGCCUAAAGAUGUAUUAUGUGCAGGUCCAGAUGUUAAAGAAUACACAGAUGAGUUAGAGGCAGGAUUCAAUACUCAGGAAUUCUUGGUGUUCUGGGGGACACUUCCCUUCCCCCUGCUUACUUGUAUGCACUGUGCAUCUUCAGCCCCCAACAUGAUACCCAUGUGGAAAAGGAUGACAUCGAGCAAAGAGCAUAGGUGGAAACUUGUUCUCCCCACAACACACCCUCAGCCUUUUGACUCCAAAGUUUAAAGAGAGAAGACUUGCUUCCAAUGGCUGGUGCCACUCAUAGCAUCCACAUCCUGGAUUCAUUGAGAGGUGCACAGGAAGGAGGAAAGCAGGUGGCUUUCUAGGGGAACAAGAUGACACAGGCAUAGGAAAUUAAAUGGUAGUGAGUGAGUAAUGCAAAAGCCUAGAAGCAGCAGUGGUAGAGAAGAAGAGAGACGCCCAGGUGCUAAACCAGCGGCCCAGGAGAUGCGCACCUUGCUGGACAAUUAGUAAGUCCUUUCAAGGAGGGAAAUCUAAGUCCAUCUAGAAAUCUGAUUUCAGCCCAGACUGUGACUUCUGCCACUGAUGCUAAUGGUCCCUUUUGAGACAUUUCUGGUAAAGGAGAGACACUGGCUUCCUUAUGGACAUUCACAUAUGCAGGAUAAAUGUGGAAUUCAUGACCAAGAGAAAUUUAUAGCUGCUCAAAGGUCAAGAAUGGGAAUCUGACCACCCAACCUAAGAUUCUCAUCUAUAAAGAGGCCACCCUGCCUCACCAGCUGAGGUCACCAUCUUGAACUCAUAAAGGCUCAGAAGAGAACACAAGCCCUGUGUUCAGGUCAAGAGCUUGGAAUCAGUCACACUUGAAUAAAAAUUCAAAU